GCCUGUAAAACAGACCCGAUUUAUGUACGACAUGAGAAUAAUGCUGUUACUCUUUUAAGACGUUAUCCUUGGUGAUUCCGCUUGUUCGAGAACCCUCUUCUUAGUGCCACCCAUAAGUUAGUUUCUGCAUUCGGCCUAACCCCCCGAUGGGGCAAUUUCAGUUAAAAUUUAAGGUAAUUCAAAUGUCUAAGAAGACUGGUCAGGUAAAGUGGUUUAACGAAAGCAAAGGCUUCGGCUUUAUCGAGCAGCAUGACGGCGGUAAAGAUGUAUUCGUACAUUUCUCUGCCAUCACCGGUGACGGUUUCAAAACGUUGGCUGAAGGCCAGCGUGUAGAGUACACCAUUCAGGACAGCCCGCGCGGGCCGGCUGCCGCCAACGUCGUCGCUCUGUAAUUAC
rnacentral:sRNA from 1 species